rnacentral:rRNA from 1 species
AGUGAACGCUGGCGGUAGGCCUAACACAUGCAAGUCGAACGGCAGCACAGAGGAGCUUGCUCCUUGGGUGGCGAGUGGCGGACGGGUGAGGAAUACAUCGGAAUCUACUCUGUCGUGGGGGAUAACGUAGGGAAACUUACGCUAAUACCGCAUACGACCUACGGGUGAAAACAGGGGACCUUCGGGCCUUGCGCGAUUGAAUGAGCCGAUGUCGGAUUAGCUAGUUGGCGGGGUAAAGGCCCACCAAGGCGACGAUCCGUAGCUGGUCUGAGAGGAUGAUCAGCCACACUGGAACGGCGACACGGUCCAGACUCCUACGGGAGGCAGCAGUGGGGAAUAUUGGACAAUGGGCGCAAGCCUGAUCCAGCCAUACCGCGUGGGUGAAGAAGGCCUUCGGGUUGUAAAGCCCUUUUGUUGGGAAAGAAAUCCAGCUGGCUAAUACCCGGUUGGGAUGACGGUACCCAAAGAACAAGCACCGGCUAACUUCGUGCCAGCCGCCGCCGUAA